rnacentral:rRNA from 1 species
CCAGACUCCUACGGGAGGCAGCAGUGGGGAAUAUUGCACAAUGGGGGAAACCCUGAUGCAGCGACGCCGCGUGAGUGAAGAAGUAUUUCGGUAUGUAAAGCUCUAUCAGCAGGGAAGAAAAUGACGGUACCUGACUAAGAAGCCCCGGCUAACUACGUGCCAGCAGCCGCGGUAAUACGUAGGGGGCAAGCGUUAUCCGGAUUUACUGGGUGUAAAGGGAGCGUAGACGGCAUGGCAAGUCAGAUGUGAAAGCCCGGGGCUCAACCCCGGGACUGCAUUUGAAACUGUCAGGCUGGAGUGCAGGAGAGGUAAGUGGAAUUCCUAGUGUAGCGGUGAAAUGCGUAGAUAUUAGGAGGAACACCAGUGGCGAAGGCGGUCUGCUGGACAGCAACUGACGCUGAGGCGCGAAAGCGUGGGGAGCAAACAGGAUUAGAUACCCCGGUAAGC